rnacentral:rRNA from 1 species
GAUGAACGCUAGCGGCAGGCCUAACACAUGCAAGUCGAGGGGCAGCACGUCUUCGGAUGGUGGCGACCGGCGCACGGGUGAGUAACGCGUACGCAACUUACCUCCAAGCGAGGGAUAGCCCUGGGAAACUGGGAUUAAUACCUCGUGUGAUUAUGAUGCCGCAUGGUGUUAUAAUUAAAGUUCAGGCGCUUGGAGAUGGGCGUGCGUCCUAUUAGCUAGUUGGUGAGGUAACGGCUCACCAAGGCGACGAUAGGUAGGGGGCGUGAGAGCGUGGCCCCCCACACGGGUACUGAGACACGGACCCGACUCCUACGGGAGGCAGCAGUAAGGAAUAUUGGACAAUGGGCGCAAGCCUGAUCCAGCCAUCCCGCGUGCAGGAUGACAGCCCUACGGGUUGUAAACUGCUUUUGUUAGGGAGAAACCCUGAUUUANCGGGGGCUGACGGUACCUUUCGAAUAAGCACCGGCUAACUCCGUGCCAGCAGCCGCGGUAAAGUCAC